rnacentral:lncRNA from 10 species
GGAAGUCUGGCCUGUAGAAGGAAAGUAACUUGGGUCUGGCCUUGAUGAGGCUCCUGAAUUUUCCUGCUUGUGAUACGGUGGUGUUCUGAAGACUGGUGCUGAUCUUCAUGCUACCAUUGCUCCAGCCAGUGGGUCAUGACUCUAGUGAAUGAAGAAUCCCAGACAAUGGAAGCUGCCCAUGGCUUGGAACCUGCUUCCAUGAAAGCCUGUGCCACCCUAGCCCAGUUCUGGCUGAGCUGUAUUAUUGGGUCAGCCUUCUAAGAGCUUCCCUGCCUUAGUUCUUCCCUUUUAGGUCAGCCUUAAAGCCUCAUGAGAGGGCUUUUGUAAAGCAUGGAUGUACCCACAUUCUUUAGUGUAUCACUUCUAUAAAGUUGUCAAUGGGUUUCCAUCAUAAAUAGCCACUUUCCUCCAAGUGUGAUCCCCAGGACAUCAUCAGAAGCUCUUGGACUGCAUGCUAACAUGCAAACUCCUGAGCUCUGUCUGAAACCUAAUGAACACCAGUAAGCUGCUUUUUCUCUCCAGUGGCUUCAAAGGUGAUUUCUAUGCACACAACCAUAGGAACCUCAGACUUAAAUAAAGGCCAGUUGUUGAUUUCAACAUUAAAAUCUGAGCCAGACAAUUUGUCUAGGUCCCCUGGAAGGAGCAGCAUCCUUCACGUCUCUCUCCCUGCGCAGGCUAUUGUUCCCUGUGGGCCCUCCUUGCCUUGCCUGUGUGCCACACGCACUGGGCCCAUAAUAUCCUGCCACUUCCCUCCUGCUGUCUUGGAAAUGUCACUGCUCCCACAAAACCCCUUGGUUUCCUAGACAUGUUCAGUUAUCACCAUUCACAGCACCUUACCUACCUCGUGAAGCAGUGUUCUGUGAAUAUUAAUCUACCUGCCUGAUAUGGUUUGACUGUGUUCUCACCCAAUCUCACCUUGAAUUGUAGCUCCCAUAAUCCCACAUGUUGUGAGAGGGACCUGGUGGGAAGUACUUGAAUCAUGGGGACAGGUCUUUCCCGUACUGUUCUUGUGAUAGUGAAUAAGUCUCACAGGAUCUGAUGGUUUCAUAAAGGGCAGCUCCCCUGCACAAGAUCUCUUGCCUGCCACUAUGCAAGAUGUGCCUUUGUUCCUCCUUUGCCAUCCACCAUGAUUGUGAGGCCUCCCCAGCCAUGUGGAACUGUGACUCCAUUAAACCUCUUGCCUUUAUAAAUUACCUAGUCUCUUAUGUCUUUAUUAGCAGCAUGAGAACAGACUAAUACAAUGCCUUUGCCCCAUCAGCCACCCAUCUUCAAAAGCUGGAACCACACAUAGAUUUAGUUAGAAUAAUACUUUCCUUAGUAUAGAUUAUAGUUUAUGACCUGCAGACACACGUGGUGUGGUUCUUUGCCCUGCAGCUGCCUCUGAACAGCACUGACCACAUCACUGCACCUCCC